rnacentral:rRNA from 1 species
GAGCGGCGAACGGCUGAGUAACGCGUGGGAAUUUGCCCCAAAGUGAGGAAUAACUGCCCGAAAGGGUGGCUAAUGCCGCAUAUGAUCUUCGGAUUAAAGGAUUUAUCCGCUUUGGGAGAAGCCCGCGUCGGAUUAGGUAGUUGGUGAGGUAAUGGCUCACCAAGCCGACGAUCCGUAGCUGGUCUGAGAGGAUGACCAGCCAGACUGGAACUGAGACACGGUCCAGACUCC